rnacentral:rRNA from 1 species
CCUACGGGGUGCAGCAGUGAGGAAUAUUGGACAAUGGGCGAGAGCCUGAACCAGCCAAGUCGCGUGAAGGAUGACGGCUCUACGGGUUGUAAACUUCUUUUGUCAGGGAGCAAUUGGGUCCACGCGUGGGCUUAGCGAGAGUACCUGAAGAAAAAGCAUCGGCUAACCCCGUUCCAGCAGCCGCGGUAAUACGGAGGGUGCGAGCGUUAUCCGGAUUUAUUGGGUUUAAAGGGUGCGUAGGCGGAAUAUCAAGUCAGCGGUAAAACUUCGGGGCUCAACCCCGUCGUGCCGUUGAAACUGAUGUUCUUGAGUGGGCGAGAAGUAUGCGGAAUGCGUGGUGUAGCGGUGAAAUGCAUAGAUAUCACGCAGAACUCCGAUUGCGAAGGCAGCAUACCGGCGCCCAACUGACGCUGAAGCACGAAAGCGUGGGUAUCGAACAGGAUUAGAUACCCGAGUAGUC